GAGGAAGCUCACAGCAGCAGCAGCCUCUGAGUCACAACUCAGCCCCUCCCUGGCAUAUCCCUUUGUUUGCUGGGAGUUGAGCUGUGACUCACAAAGGCUCUGGUCCCGGGCUGGGCCCAUGUGACCCAGGGUCCUGACUGCCCUGCCCACAGUCACUGAGAAAAUUCUUUGUGCAGGCUCACCUUCCCCUCAUCUCCCCCACUCUUCCUGAUCCUGCAGCGUCAGAUCCCAGCCUGCAGUAUCAGACCUCAAAAGGAGCCUCUGGUGUCUUACAAAGAACCUGAGGUGAGAGAGGUCCUCCUUCUCAGAUGGCAGCAUCAGCAUCUGAGCCCGCACAGGUUCAGAUUUAAAUUGUUUCUCCGGUUGUGACAAAAACAAGUGAAAUGAGAGCUAUUUGAGGGCUUUGAGCAGAGAAGUAGCCAACCCUUCAGAAGGUUCCCUCUGACUCCGAGUUGAGAACAAGCUGAAAGGAGGUAAAGGCAGAGGCUUGGAGGCCGCAGUCAUUCAGCCAAAAGGGAAGGAAAGAGAGAGAAAGCCACUGGAGUUGGGCAGCGUGGGAAGCUGUGAAAGUGGGCAAGCGUGAAAGAGCUUCCAAGUAGUGGAAACAGCAGAAGCAAAGAUGUGAACAUGGGAAAACCUCUGCAGUAUCUGGGUGACUGUGGGGUUUGGCUCUGUUUGAGCACCCGGGGAUGAUUGGUGGUGGGGUGUGGCUGAAGGUGAAUUGGAACAGUGCACUCAGAGCCAGGUUGCAAGAGUGCUGCAUGCUCCUCAGGGAUUGGCUCCGGCCAAGUGCCCCAGCCUCCUUUUCUGGAGAAUUCUGUUUUUGACUUGGGCCCCAUGUCCAGUUCUGCUCUGACUUGUGGGUCCACCUUAGAAAAGUCAGGAGACACCUGGGAAAUGAAGGCACUAGACUCUUCCAGACUCGUUCCAUGGCCACCCAGAGGCCUUGGGUCAUCCACCCAACAUCCCAACAAACCCCACUGUGCACUGGCAUCAUGCCAGGGUCCAGGUGUUCUGCCAGGAGCAGCCUCUGCCCUCCCAGAGCUGAUAUUUCAGGGGGAUGUGCGCCAAAGUGAGACCUGUCAGAGAUAUUUACAAACAGCCAUCUCUCUUGACAUCGCUGUAUCCCAAAUAAAUCUUCUGGGAAGACCCUCUUCACCUCCAGCUCUCCUGAUACAGCAAGGCAGUUGUGAGCAAGUUAUUCAUAACUCUACACCUCAGUUUCUUGGUAUGGAAGAUGGGGAUAAUGAGAGGACCACAGGAUGGUUGUGGAGACUGUAUGAGGAUAUGGAUGCCGAGCCCAGUAGCACAGGGUGCAGCCGUUCAAACCAACUGACAUUUAUUGAGGGCUGCUUUGUCAGGUCCCUCUCUACAGUAUACUCCAACACACACAUACACACACAUCUGUAAUCAAUAAUAAUCCUGCAACAUC